UUGAAGAUUACAGGAUAUCCUAUAGAAUAAAGAGAACAAAAUAUCAACAGACUGGGUGUUUUCAACAACAGAAAAUGUAUUUCCUCACAGUUCUGGAGGCUGAAAGUCCAAGAUCAAGACGAGAAUCUGCGGUUCAAAGGUUAGUAGGGCAGGUAACUGAUUCCGAAGCCGGUCCUGCCUUCGUGGUACUGGGUACGAAAAGGCAUUACAGGCGAAGAACGACGGGCUCCGGUGAAGGUUCGGGCAGCACCG